AUUGAACGCUGGCGGCAGGCCUAACACAUGCAAGUCGAGCGGAUGAAGGGAGCUUGCUCCUGGAUUCAGCGGCGGACGGGUGAGUAAUGCCUAGGAAUCUGCCUGGGCGUGGGGGAUAACGUCCGGAAACGGGCGCUAAUACCGCAUCCGCCCAGAGGGAGAAAGUGGGGGAUCUUCGGACCUCACGCUAUCAGAUGAGCCUAGGUCGGAUUAGCUAGUUGGUGGGGUAAAGGCCUACCAAGGCGACGAUCCGUAACUGGUCUGAGAGGAUGAUCAGUCACACUGGAACUGAGACACGGUCCAGACUCCUACGGGAGGCAGCAGUGGGGAAUAUUGGACAAUGGGCGAAAGCCUGAUCCAGCCAUGCCGCGUGUGUGAAGAAGGUCUUCGGAUUGUAAAGCACUUUAAGUUGGGAGGAAGGGCAGUAAGUUAAUACCUUGCUGUUUUGACGUUACCAACAGAAUAAGCACCGGCUAACUUCGUG
rnacentral:rRNA from 1 species